rnacentral:lncRNA from 1 species
CUCCAAAUGAACGAAUAGAGUAAGAGCAACAAAUUACGAUGUCACGGGUUUAUGUGUGUGGCUGAGGGAGAGUAUGGAGACGAGCGGGAAACAAAUUGGAUAAGUGAGGAAGGUGGAUUAAGGGUUUCUGAUUUUUUUUUUCAAUUGGGGCAACAGUAGGGAUGACAGAUAAGAUGUUAGAGUGAGAGAGAUGAAAGAGAAAGGGUUGAGAGGAACGUGGGAGGUGAGUAAGGGUUUGGGGUUUUUUUUUUUAGUUUUGAGGAUGAAAAUUAUUUAAAUAUUCUUGACCUUAAAACUUAGAAUCCAUGAUAAAUGAGGAUAUUUUUGUCUACUAUAAUCCAGU